rnacentral:misc_RNA from 1 species
GGCAACAUCUAUGUUUUGUUUAGUUACAGUGCGCAUUAAGUUGCUGAGAUUGGUCUAAGUUUUUACUUUAACUAAGUUUCCUUUUUAUAAAUAAAGAGGAAACAGGAAAUAGUUGUGUCCUGGAUUACUCGUCUGGUGUUCAAUGUAAGUAGCAAGUACAACAUUACACCGACUCUAAUAUGGUCGAUAACGUCUACCACGGUUGGAAUCAUCACUGCCACCACUGGAUCCUCCUCCUCGUCCUUGUGGUCCACCGGCACCAUUGUUCCUGUCAUUCCUACGAGGCCGAACAGGUGGUGCCUGAACUCCUGGCUGCUGGAGGACAUAGCCGAUCUGACCAUCUGGUAAAACCAUUGGCACCAUCUGCAUACCUGUUGGCAUCGGUCCUCUACCA